rnacentral:rRNA from 1 species
UACGAAGGGGGCUAGCGUUGCUCGGAAUUACUGGGCGUAAAGGGAGCGUAGGCGGACUGUUUAGUCAGAGGUGAAAGCCCAGGGCUCAACCUUGGAAUUGCCUUUGAUACUGGCAGUCUUGAGUACGGAAGAGGUAUGUGGAACUCCGAGUGUAGAGGUGAAAUUCGUAGAUAUUCGGAAGAACACCAGUGGCGAAGGCGACAUACUGGUCCGUUACUGACGCUGAGGAUCGAAAGCGUGGGGAGCAAAC